rnacentral:rRNA from 1 species
GACGAACGCUGGCGGCGUGCUUAACACAUGCAAGUCGAACGGAAAGGCCCUGCUUUUGUGGGGUGCUCGAGUGGCGAACGGGUGAGUAACACGUGAGUAACCUGCCCUUGACUUUGGGAUAACUUCAGGAAACUGGGGCUAAUACCGGAUAGGAGCUCCUGCUGCAUGGCGGGGGUUGGAAAGUUUCGGCGGUUUGGGAUGGACUCGCGGCUUAUCAGCUUGUUGGUGGGGUAGUGGCUUACCAAGGCUAUGACGGGUAGCCGGCCUGAGAGGGUGACCGGCCACAUUGGGACUGAGAUACGGCCCAGACUCCUACGGGAGGCAGCAGUGGGGAAUAUUGCACAAUGGGCGGAAGCCUGAUGCAGCAACGCCGCGUGCGGGAUGACGGCCUUCGGGUUGUAAACCGCUUUCGCCUGUGACGAAGCGUGAGUGACGGUAAUGGGUAAAGAAGCACCGGCUAACUACGUG